rnacentral:rRNA from 1 species
AACGCGAAAGGUUCCUUCGGGAACCGAGUAGAGUGGCGCACGGGUGAGUAACACGUAGGUAAUUUGCCUUUGGGUGGGGAAUAACUCAGGGAAACUUGAGCUAAUACCGCAUAAUGCAGCGGCUCAACAUCGAGACAGUUGUUAAAGCGGGGGAUCGCAAGACCUCGCGCCUGAAGAGAAGCCUGCGGCAGAUUAGCUAGUUGGCAGGGUAAUGGCCUACCAAGGCGACGAUCUGUAACCGGCCUGAGAGGGCGGUCGGUCACACUGACACUGACAUACGGGUCAGACUCCUACGGGAGGCAGCAGUCGGGAAUUUUGGGCAAUGGGCGAAAGCCUGACCCAGCAACGCCGCGUGAAGGAUGAAAUUUUUCGGAAUGUAAACUUCGCAAGAACGGGAAGAAUAAGUAGAAGAUAAUACCUUCUAUGAUGACGGUACCGUUUGUAAGCUCCGGCUAACUCCGUGCCAGCAGCCGCGGUAAUACGGGGGGAGCAAGCGUUGUUCGGAUUUACUGGGCGUAAAGGGCGCGUAGGCGGUCGUGACAAGUCACUUGUGAAAUCUCCGGGCUUAACUCGGAACGGUCAAGUGAUACUGUCGGACUAGAGUACAGAAGGGGCAACUGGAAUUCUCGGUGUAGCGGUGAAAUGCGUAGAUAUCGAGAGGAACACCUGCGGCGAAGGCGGGUUGCUGGGCUGAUACUGACGCUGAGGCGCGAAAGCCAGGGGAGCGAACGGGAUUAGAUACCCCGGUAGUCCUGGCCUUAAACGAUGAAUGCUUGGUGUC